UAAACACCGAAUCAUUAAACAUCGCGUAUGAUUCUCAAGAUCACAUCAAAAUGUUUGUUUUUAUUCAUCAGGAGACAUUCCGACAGCAAAACUAACCGAAAAGCAGAGUUUCCCACCAAUGUCAAGCGAGAUAACAAAUUCGACGCUUUCUUGGCAAAACAUCACAUUUUACUUAAACUUCACAUGACGUCACCGCCACCACAUAAGACAUUUCUAAACUUUCUGCCUGUAACGACAUGUGCAGCUCGAGUCCUAAGAAUACACGGAUCCGCCAGUUAAAAUUAACCAAGAUGGCGUGAGGCUUGUUGUUUAGAGGGCAGAAAAAAUGGAGGAUAUUGUAAUAUACACAAAGGGAUAAAUUUCAACAACUCGGCCAGGCGGCAGCUGCUGCUCUUUAAGGAAGCAACAAAGAUAAGAGCAACGCGAAGCUCCAACUCAACGCCAGCGACCCGCUCCGACGGAGCAGGCGAUUUCCCCGUCGAAAAUACGAAACCGUGUGCUUUUAACGGCUUUUAUCAAAAGGAAUUGUAAAGUAAAUGCUUUUAUCAUGUCUCAAUGAAGAGCUGUUAGCUUUUGCCAUCAUCUGAGAGACGGACAUUAAACAGACCAAAGAGAUGAAGCCGGGUGAAAAGGGAUGCUUAUGGAGGGACAUGGACAGGCAGGCAAACCUCCGGGGAUCAGCGCUCCGGAGAGUGGGAGGACAAGAUGAGACGAUGGUGUGCAAGACGUGCAUCUAAACGUGUGCAUACGGUCCAUGUUUAUCUGUGAUCAUCAGACCACCCCGGCCACAGUGCAUCAUCCCUAUGUGGGGAAAGUCUUGUUAAUAUGGCGGCGAUGAGGUAAACGGAUAGGAAGUGAUGGAGUGGCAGACCCACGGGGGAUAACCACAUGAGGGGUGACAGACCACUGACAUCAGCCUUGUUCUCUUGCCUUGCUGGCUUGCUCUCUCCAUCUCUCUCUUCUCCACACACACUCAUUUCCAGGAAGGGGUCAUUAAUGUGAGGGAAAAAAAACUUAAUCCAGUCAUGGCUUUAAAAUGGAGUAUCUUCUCAUAGAGAUGCAAUCAUUCCUAACGGGUCUGAGUCAGGCUGCAGAUCUCACAAGAGAACAGCACAAAGAAGCUUUUAAUUCCUCCAUUUAGAGACAAAAUACAUAAUUUAUCAUUAAAGCACUGCUUGGAGGGGAAAAGGGUACUUUUUAGAUUUUAUUUGAGCGUAGCUCCCUAAAGUGGUAGCAGGGUUCAACUUAACCUGACCAAUAAACCGAGAAAAUGAUCCGCUUUUCGUUCUCUUCAACGCACCAGCCCUCUUAUAAAACUACAGCAGCGGUUCCAACAUCCAUACAGUAGUUAAAUGUUCACAUUUAACAGUCGUAAUUGACAUUUUCCCUCGCUCCCUUCAGCAAUGAUAUAUCAAAGAGUGCAUCAGCCGCCGGAGGAGGAGAGAAAACAUUAGGAGGAUUAAUAAAGGGGGGGAGGAAAAUAGAUUGAGCGUUCACCAAGAUCAGUAAAAUAGGAUCUGUCAAGCAACCCUGAAACAUCCAUCCUGUGGAGAAAAAAAAGACAGAGGUACAUUUUCAUGGAUGGAAGGAAGGAAAAACAGAGGACAACCCGUGCGGCUGAUCAAUUUCCCUAGAUUAGCUUUCAGCGGCUGUGCCCGCUUCCAUUUGUAAAGAUAAUAUUAUGUAAUAACCCUUUUGGGUGACUAUUUAAAUUAUCAUACUGCCUACAGUGCAAGGCGCUAAUGGAAAUAUUUAACAUAAAUUCACUUUAAAAAAUGACGCCUUAAACAACAGUUGUAAGAAUUAUUCUGAAAUUAAAGGAGUGUGCAUAAAUGAUUCUCCCUGGCCUUGACUCGCUGUUCUCAAUUACGUUCUGCUCAACUGGAACAAUGAAACGAUGCUAGCACUGCGCUUUAUCGCGCAUAUAUAUGCGCUGUUACGAAUGUCAUAUGGAAGCUAUUUAUGGCCACAAGCAUCGGUGCCAAGGGCAUAGAAAACAGGGAUGUUAUUGAAUCAAUUCAGAAUGUGCAAAGGAGCAGUGCGACGAUAGAUCAGGUAGAGCCCAGCCGUUGCUGGGUUCCACUUGAAAAACGAUAGCUUCAGCUUGGCUUUUGUUGUGCGCCUUCAAAGACAGGCAUCUGAAAACCCCAAAUGAAGAGACAAAGCUGUAAGCAUUCCUCAGUCUUCUUCGCCUUCUACAAACUCGUUAAUGAUCUCAUUUCAAAACACCUUCCUGCGGACGUCCCCUUUCCUGUCUGGCUAACGCCAAAUUGCAUAAUGCCAACUGAACGCUCGCAUUUGUUCUCCCUUUCCUUCUCAGGAAAUCUAUUUAAAUUUUCACGCCAACUGUCAGUCCGAAUCCAACCUUGAUUUAUGCAAAAACAACGUCUGCUUUAAUUAGUCAUUUCUCCUCACUGUGCUCUAGGCGGCAAGCUGGGUUAGACAUUCGGAGGAACCUCCUUUUUGUAUGAUCAAAACUAGGCCAUCAGCAACACCAUGAUAAUAGCCACGUCUCAACACCCUAGCAACAUACGAGAGUGUGUGUUCGAGUGUGUUUUUAUCCCCCAUGAGCCAUCCAUCUCCACUCAGCAGGGUGGUUUUGGGUGGAGCACGGAUAAUCACAGCAGUCACUACACCUGGAGGACUGGAAAAUAAUAAACAACUAACAGGUAGUUUUUCCCCGUCAGCUCUCUAUACGUUCC